GACGAACGCUGGCGGCGUGCUUAACACAUGCAAGUCGAACGGAAAGGCCCUGCUUUUGUGGGGUGCUCGAGUGGCGAACGGGUGAGUAACACGUGUGUAACCUGCCCUUGACUUUGGGAUAACUUCAGGAAACUGGGGCUAAUACCGGAUAGGAGCUCCUGCUGCAUGGUGGGGGUUGGAAAGCUUCGGCGGUUGGGGAUGGACUCGCGGCUUAUCAGCUUGUUGGUGGGGUAGUGGCUUACCAAGGCUUUGACGGGUAGCCGGCCUGAGAGGGUGACCGGCCGGAUUGGGGCUGAGAUACGGCCCAGACUGCUGCGGGAGGCAGCAGUGGGGAAUAUUGCGGAAUGGGCGGAAGCCUGAUGCAGCGACUCCGCGUGCGGGAUGACGGCCUUCGGGUUGUAAACCGCUUUCGCCUUGGACGAAGCGUGAGUGACGGUAAUGGGUAAAGAAGCACCGGCUAACUACGUG
rnacentral:rRNA from 1 species